AGUGAACGCUGGCGGCAGGCCUAACACAUGCAAGUCGAACGGCAGCACAGAGGAGCUUGCUCCUUGGGUGGCGAGUGGCGGACGGGUGAGGAAUACAUCGGAAUCUACUCUGUCGUGAGGGAUAACGUAGGGAAACUUACGCUAAUACCGCAUACGACUUACGGGUGAAAGCAGGGGACCUUCGGGCCUUGCGACGUUGAAUGAGCCGAUGUCGGAUCAGCUAGUUGGCGGGGGACAGGCCCACCAAGGCGACGAUCCGUAGCUGGUCUGAGAGGAUGAUCAGCCACACUGGAACUGAGACACGGUCCAGACUCCUACGGGAGGCAGCAGUGGGGAAUAUUGGACAAUGGGCGCAAGCCUGAUCCAGCCAUACCGCGUGGGUGAAGAAGGCCUUCGGGUUGUAAAGCCCUUUUGUUGGGAAAGAAAUCCAGCUGGCUAAUACCCGGUUGGGAUGACGGUACCCAAAGAAUAAGCACCGGCUAACUUCGUGCCAGCCGCCGCGGUAA
rnacentral:rRNA from 1 species